UGUACUCACCGAUUAGUCAACUAAUGAUGUUUUCGCUCGAAAUCACUGUCACAAUUCCAGGCCCAGGUCAACAGUCGGCGUCCUCACUGUUUUGUAGAGUGUUAAUUUGGCUAGUCUGUAUGUUGAUCUGCAGGCUGAUUUGGUAGUAAAUCUCAC